rnacentral:misc_RNA from 1 species
UAGUAUUUGGAGGCAGGAUGUGCGGGCACCGGUCGGCCUAUGGAACCACCGUUGUGUGCUCCGUGCAUUACGUCGAAGGCAAAUACGCCCCCUAAUCGGUGUUGACCUGCGGGCACCGGUCGGGCUUGAUAAUCUCAAGCCUGUCGACGACGGUUCACCUAACUCGAAAGCGUUAGGUGAAAGCGUCGGCAGUAAGUUGGUUGCGUCUGCUGGCUCCAACUCGGGUAGUAGAUUAUCUUUUGAUAAUCUCAAGCCCGCGAUGACGGCUUGCUGAGUUAUCGUGAAUCGUCGUCAACCGGGCUUGAUAAUCUCAAGUUCGUGAUGGGUACCGUUGCUUGUGGGUUCCGUUGCUUCCUGAUCUUGCUUAUAUAGUUGCGUGGCCGGACUUGUUUCUCAUGCCUCGUUAGUGAUUUGAAUCCAUCGCUUAGCGAACGUGGCGACUUGUUGCUUGCGUCUGCUGGUUUGACUAGUUUGUUGCGGUUGUUAAGGUGAAGGGACUCGUUUCUUUAGGUGACUUGAUCCGACGAUGAUGUUGCCGUGUUUACGAUUGGUCGAGCUUUGCUCUAGAUCUAUGGCAUAGCUACGGAUUCGUUUGGUCUUUGUUGCGCGAGCAACAUGAGCGAUCGGUUCCUAAUACGUGGAUAUAUAAGCAAGAGAUGAGGCAAUGGUUCUUACCUGUGGCGGUUUAUAUGGGUGGUUCUUGAUGUCGGUUUAUAUUCCUGGUUCUCCCAUCGUUCGGGGCAUUCUGGGGCUGUUUUGGCUAUUGGUUGCUUGCUUGGUCUUGAGCCGAUCAGGUGGCUUCUAGUUUGGUGGCUUCGGGGAUGUUGACCGUAAAGGUGGAUGAGUGGUGUUUGGUUUGUUACGUGUGGUUGGCUGCGGCGUAUGCAACAACUUCCAUGCUUUCAGACCUCUUCAGUUGUGCGGCAAGGCUUGUAUUGCCUUGAGCGUAUUGUGGGUUUUCUGUGUUGUAUACCUAAUCAACGGUAUCGGUUGGAUUGAUCAAAGUUUCAUUUCGUCUUCCGUCGCAUUCGCGGCGUGAGGUGAACCUUGAUGCGGUCUCUUUGAUCCACCUCGUCGGAGCGCAUGCUUUGACGUUGUGGCACAUUGAGCAUUGCUUGGUCUCUUGUAUGCGGAACAUAUAGUGGGCAUGGAUCUAACGAUUCUCCUUCGCCCUCAUAUUAGCGUAUCGCUUCUCUAACACGACUUGCACUACGUUUUAGCUUCGUACGGACGUGGUGCUAGUCAAAGAGAG